CGACCCCACCCCCACUCGGAUCGUCCGGCACGUUCCUGCCGGUAGGAGAAGCACAC
rfam:Modestobacter sp. VKM Ac-2676 NODE_689_length_1777, whole genome shotgun sequence.